CACUUUUUUUUUUUUUUAGCUCUUAUUGUCUCCAUUCAAAUGUUUUCAGCAAACAAAACUAAUUUUAACACGUCUUGAGUACAAGUUAACGAAGAACAUAAACACUUGUGUCUCCGGUACAGAAACUUGUGGCGCUCCCUGUGUAAUCUUCACUAAAUCUGAUUCCUCGUUCAUUAAGUGCACAUAAAGGAAAUGAGACGCAGUUAAGCCUUAAAAUGAUCCACACCUCUAUUAGAUUUGAAAUUAUUUUCUUUUUUCCAAGAAGUUGAUUGGAGGUUCUUGGAAGCUGGUGGGAAAUGUCUGCCUGCGUGCAAACCUGCGCGCGUGUGUGUGUGUGCGUUUGUUUCUAUUAUCUUGUGGGGACCAUUUUCCUGACAUAUACUGCGUUGUGGAGACACACUGCUCUUUGUGAGGACCGAAGCCUGGUCCCCACAAGGGGAAACGCUGUUUUUGGGUCAGGGGUCAGAUUUAGGACUAAGGUGUGAGUUGAGUUUUGGUUAAGGUUAGAAAUGAAUGGAAGUCAAUGGAAAGUCCCCGCAAAGAUAGCUGCGCAAACAUGUGCUGGUAUGUGUGGGGGUGUGUGUGUGUGAGUGUGUUUGUGCACGUCUAUUAUAAUCUGCCACAUUCCACAGAUACUCUGUCUGCCACCUGCUGUCCAAGACACAAAGGAGAAUUGAUCAAACAGUCAGAUGCCGACUUUCUCCAAUAGUCACCACUGAACCCAAACUGACGGCUCCAGUACCGCCUCUCAGGGAUAGAGCCUUAAGUUACACGUCAGGCAAGUCAAACUCUAACAUUUUUGUUAGAUAUAUACAAAAAAAUUUCAUUUCAGCACAUCUGACAAAUGCAGGACUUUCCUUUAAGUUGAGAUCUGGCUCGGUUACUCUUAUUCUGACUCUAUCGGUCACUGAUGCUGUGAUUAGCAGAAGUAUUUGAACCAUUUGAACUCUUUUGCCUUUUCUCAUGUUUUCAACCAAAAACAUCAAUAAAUGCUCUUUGGAUUUUUUUUUUUAAUUUUUAUGACCGGUCAACACAAAAAUUAUGACAAAUGAUCUUCUUCCAAACUGUGAUGUGGAAGAAGAGAGAAAACAUGCCUACAUCAUAAUGCGACCGCGUGUUGACACCAAAUUCGUUUUCCAACCCCUGCGAGAUUUUAGACGAAAGCCAUAAAGUUUGGUGCUGAGCUCAUGUGACGUAAAAACCUUUUCCACAGACUUGCACUCCAACAAACCUCCGUAGCCUCCAGAAAACAGGUGUGUUCAUCCUGAGAUGUACUCAGAAAUCAUCUGAUUAUAAAUUAGAUCACUUCCAAAUGCCGUUAGCAUCAUUUUACUCAGGAGUACCUUCUUUUUUUUAUUUUAUAAAAAAGGUUUCAUUGGCUCUAGUGGCCCUUAUUUGAUAGUGAAUUAAUAGGAUAGAGGGCAAUGAGAGAAGGGGAAGACAUGCGGCAAAGGUCACCAGGCUGGGAUUUGAACCUGCAACAGCCACGUCCAGGACUAAAGCCUCCAUAUGUGGGUUGAGCUUAACCCCUACGCCGCCCCCCCCCCAGGAGUAUCACAGUUAAGGGGGUUUGACUACAUAAUCACCCCAAAACUUUUCAGAUUUUUAUUUGUAAUCUCUGCUUCUUUUCAAUUUUCUAUUUUGUGCUGCAAUUUUGCUAUCAUAAAAAAAAAAAAUCAAAAUAAAGUAUCUGUAGAGAACAACUUAAA